AACGAACGCUGGCGGCGUGGAUAAGACAUGCAAGUCGUACGGUGGAUUCCGGUAGCAAUACUGGCCUCCCCAGUGGCGCACGGGUGAGUAACACGUGAGUUACCUGCCCUGCAGCGGGGGAUAGCCCGCCGAAAGGUGGAUUAAUACCCCAUGGCCUCCCGCGCAAGCGGGAGUAAAGGCGGCGCAAGCUGCCGCUGCAGGAUCGGCUCGCGGCCUAUCAGCCAGUUGGCGGGGUAACGGCCCACCAAGGCGACGACGGGUACCUGGUCUGGGAGGACAAUCAGGCACACUGGAACUGAGACACGGUCCAGACACCUACGGGUGGCAGCAGUCGAGAAUCAUUCACAAUGGGGGAAACCCUGAUGGUGCAACGCCGCGUGGAGGAUGACGGUCCUCGGAUUGUAAACUCCUGUCAUCUGGGAGUAAGACCUGACGGUGAACAGCCGGCAGGGUUGAUAGUACCAGAAGAGGAAGGGACGGCUAACUUCGUGCCAGCCGCCGCCGUAACAC
rnacentral:rRNA from 1 species